rnacentral:rRNA from 1 species
AGUGAACGCUGGCGGUAGGCCUAACACAUGCAAGUCGAACGGCAGCACAGUAAGAGCUUGCUCUUACGGGUGGCGAGUGGCGGACGGGUGAGGAAUACAUCGGAAUCUACUUUUUCGUGGGGGAUAACGUAGGGAAACUUACGCUAAUACCGCAUACGACCUACGGGUGAAAGCAGGGGAUCUUCGGACCUUGCGCGAUUGAAUGAGCCGAUGUCGGAUUAGCUAGUUGGCGGGGUAAAGGCCCACCAAGGCGACGAUCCGUAGCUGGUCUGAGAGGAUGGUAGGCCACACGGGAACGGGGACACGGUCCAGACUCCUACGGGAGGCAGCAGUGGGGAAUAUUGGACAAUGGGCGCAAGCCUGGUCCAGCCAUACCGCGUGGGUGAAGAAGGCCUUGGGGUUGUAAAGCCCUUUUGUUGGGAAAGAAAAGCAGCAGGUUAAUACCCCGCUGUUCUGACGGUACCCAAAGAAUAAGCACCGGCUAACUUCGUG